UACAGAGGGUGCGAGCGUUAAUCGGAAUUACUGGGCGUAAAGCGCGCGUAGGCGGCUUUGCAAGUCGGGUGUGAAAUCCCCAGGCCUAACCUGGGAACUGCAUUCGAGACUGCAUGGCUAGAGUAUCGGAGAGGGAAGUGGAAUUUCAGGUGUAGCGGUGAAAUGCGUAGAUAUCGAGAGGAACACCAGUGGCGAAGGCGAGUCCCUGGACAACUCCUGACACUGAGGCACGAAAGCUAGGGGAGCAAACAGG
rnacentral:rRNA from 1 species